GGGCGAUUAGUUCAGUGGUUAGAACGCUGUCCUGAUAAGACAGAGGUCGAUGGUUCGAUUCCAUCAUCGCCCA
rnacentral:tRNA from 1 species